rnacentral:rRNA from 1 species
AUUGAACGCUGGCGGCAGGCCUAACACAUGCAAGUCGAACGAGUGGCGGACGGGUGAGUAAUGUCUGGGCAACUGCCCGCUGGAGGGGGAUAACUACUGGAAACGGUAGCUAAUACCGCAUACCAUCGGAUGUGCCCAGAUGGGAUUAGCUAGUAGGUGGGGUAACGGCUCACCUAGGCGACGCUCCCUAGCUGGUCUGAGAGGAUGACCAGCCACACUGGAACUGAGACACGGUCCAGACUCCUACGGGAGGCAGCAGUGGGGAAUAUUGCACAAUGGGCGAAAGCCUGAUGCAGCCAGGCCGCGUGUAUGAAGAAGGCCUUCGGGUUGUAAAGUACUUUCAGCGAGGAGGCGUUACUAGCAGAAGAAGCACCGGCUAACUCCGUGCCAGCAGCCGCGGUAAUAC